CCAGGCACGGCUUCCGUGUCUCACGGCGCCCCCGUCCGGCCGGAGGUCCCCCGCGGAGGAGGUCGCUGGGACCCGCAGGGGAGGCGGGGAGAGAGAGGGGCGGGUCCGGACAGGCCGCCCCGGCUCGAGGGGCUCGGGGGGCCCGGAGGACUCAGGGGUCUUGGGGACCCGAGGGGCUCGUGGGUGUCUCGGGAGCCCGGGGGACUCGGGCACCGGGGUCGUGGCCCCCUGGCAUCGGCUCCCCGAGAACUGACGCCCUGGCUCCGCGUUUCCUGCGGCACGCCCCGGCGCUGAGCUUCCCGAGCGAGGAGCGCGGGAGCGGAGCGCGGCGGCGGCGCGCGAGGGGGCGGUCCGAGCUCCGCCCCUCCCGCUCCCCGCAGUCGGCCGGGCCGGCCACCCCCGCCGGCGUCCCCACGCCCCUUGCGCCCAGCGCCCGCCCCGAGGCUCCGGCCGCGUCUGAUUCCUGCCUGCUGGGCUCCUCCUCCCACCCAGCCUCAACUGCCAACCCCGCCGACCCGGACUAUUCCUUGUCAUCGCUUUCGCUCUUCUCUUCUGCUUGAAACCCUCCCUCUGCGUUCCCGGGACCAUCUCUGAUUCCCUGCCCUUUGUUAACCUCGUCCCUGCCCCCCAGCCCUCCCUGGAGCCUGCCCUCCGCCCCUUGCUCUUCCUCCCUGGAGUCUCUCUUUGAGGGUAGCUUGGCUUGUUGGCUUCAUGGAUCCCUCUGAUGACACAGACAUCUCCAGUCCAACUGCUGUCUCAAUUCCAGACUGACUUUUCCAAUCAAAUGGGAAAUGCCCACCUGCCUGAUUCCAGAUGUGUCAAACUCAGCAUGUCCCCAAAUCAGAGACUCUCACCAUCUUCUCUCUCAAGCAGCAGUGCCCUGAGCAUUCCGGAAUGUUUGGAACUGAGCAACUGGAAAGCUGCCAUAGGGGCCGUGACAUAGGAAUCUGGCCCCGUACCGCUCGUGUUGUCCCACGGAGCCGCACUGCAGAUGAGGGAGCUUCAUGGGACCUUGCUUAUGACAGCCAAGGUAGAUGCCUCGGCCGGAGUGAUGAGGGACAUGGAAGGUCUUGUGUUCUGAGGCGACAGGCCUGGUUCCCAAGUAGCCUGCAGCCUGCAAGCCAACUUCUGAUCCAGCUUGCCCCAUGUGGAAGUGACAGCUGUAGCUCAGGAGCACACAGAGCAGGCAGGAGGACACUUCAUGACGUUGCAGAUAAGAACAUUGAUUUUGGAGAGGUCAAGUGGUCUGUUUACUGUCACCCAGCCACUGAGUGGCACAGUUGGAAAUGGAAUCCAAAGCUGCUUUUCCUACCGCACUGCAUUUGAGGAGUACCUUUGUUCUUGACCUCUUUAGUGUUACUUCUUUAUUUGGUAUUCAAAUGGAAAUGCAUGAUGGAAUGCUCUUGGGGUCGUAUGCUGCAAGAUCCCAUGGCACUGGAGUUCACCAAAGCACUGUGUGUGUGCAUGGGUGGGGUCCGGGAAGGACGGGCAGGCAGGACCGUGCUGCCUAUGCUGGUAAGAGACCCCCUUGCUCAUGUGGGCGGCUGUCAAUAGGGAUGUUUCCGUGCAUUAACUAUGGCACAUGCAUCACUCUGUUAUAGGAACUCACUGCUGAAACUGUCUCCAUUUCACAGUUCCCUAAAGGACCUUCAGUUUUGAUGAAAUCUUGCGCCUCUUUUAUAAAAGAAAAUAAAAGGUGAUAACCAAAGUUUUGUAAUCUGUGCACUUUGGCUUGUGUGACUAAUUUCCCAGUGAUUCUGAAUUAUCUGCAGGCAGAAUUCCUUAAGAUUG